AGCAGCCGCGGUAAUUCCAGCUCCAAUAGCGUAUAUUAAAGUUGUCGCAGUUAAAAAGCUCGUAGUUGAAUUUCGAGAUCAAAUUGUUGGUCGUGCCUCGGUACGUACUGGCAUUAUUGAUUUCUCCCUUCUGAAGAACCUUGAUGUCAUUAAUUUGGUGUCUUGGGGAAUCAGGACCGUUACUUUGAAAAAAUUAGAGUGUUUAAAGCAGGCUCACGCUUGAAUACAUUAGCAUGGAAUAAUGAAAUAGGACGUUUGAUUCUAUUUUGUUGGUUUCUAGGAUCGACGUAAUGAUUAAUAGGGAUAGUUGGGGACAUUAGUAUUCAAUUGUCAGAGGUGAAAUUCUUGGAUUUAUUGAAGACUAACUACUGCGAAAGCAUUUGCCAAGGAUGUUUUCAUUAAUCAAGAACGAAAGUUAGGGGAUCGAAGACGAUCAGAUACCGUCGUAGUCUUAACCAUAAACUAUGCCGACUAGGGAUCGGAUGAUGUUAAUUUUUAAUGACUCAUUCGGCGCCUUAAC
rnacentral:rRNA from 1 species